UACAAACACAAAAGGCUUAGCAAUUUUUAGGGCUGAAUUGAUAUCACUAAAUUGUUUUUUGGAGUUGCUAAGCAACACUGAAAAACAAAUGUCCAUGUUCUGAGAUCACUCAGCAUGCAUUCUCCCUGAGGGCAGUGCACGUGUGAGGCAGCCCAACUCCACUCCACUCAGACAGCAGGAGCGGAACAUCUCAACCAUGACACGAAUGGUCUGCAGUGCAAAAGAUACAAAUCAUGUCUCAAAUACAAAUCAUGGUUUGUUGGCCUCCUGGCAGCCGAGCUCUCUGGUAAGAAAAAAUUUUCACUGGACUGUCACUGUUUGCCUGAGUAAGUCCCACAGGGGCCUCCGGUGUCUUCUCAUACCUGUAACAUCACUUUACUCAGCUUUCUUUGAAGAAACAGCCUUCACUGUGAGAAGACCUAUUUCAGAUCAUCUUUCUUAAGGAUAUGUUGGCAUUACACUUAGAAAGAAAGCCUCAGCUAAGAUGCUCUGACCAAUAAAACUUUGUCUGCUGGACCUGGGAAGGAAAACUGCUUCUUUCAAAGGUGAAGCUGUCCCACUGCACAUGAUUGAUAAGAAGGUAUGUAUGUCCACUUUGUCCCAUCCCCUCAGAUACAACUUGGCACCUAGGAGACAGGCACUGUGCUGCUCUUCCAGUGAGAGAACACCAUGAGAAGAUCAUCAGUUCAACAAAUCAGCUAAUUUCUCAAAGGAAAAGACUUAUAUUCACUAGAGUCCUCCCUUACCCCAUACAUCAAGUGGCAUUUUAACAUGAUGGCUUAGCACUGCACAUAAAUUCAGCAAAGGUUUCAAUUCUA